rnacentral:rRNA from 1 species
CGGCGGACGGGUGAGUAACACGUGGGUAACCUACCUAUAAGACUGGGACAACUUCGGGAAACCGGAGCUAAUACCGGAUAAGAUAUCGAACCGCAUGGUUCGAUAGUGAAAGAUGGUUUUGCUAUCACUUAUAGAUGGACCCGCGCCGUAUUAGCUAGUUGGUGAGGUAACGGCUCACCAAGGCAACGAUACGUAGCCGACCUGAGAGGGUGAUCGGCCACACUGGAACUGAGACACGGUCCAGACUCCUACGGGAGGCAGCAGUU